GUUUUGUCCCGUUGUCCAGCACGGGUCGGCUGGAGCCUGUAGUCGGUCCCGUUCCUCAUCAUUACCCAGAAUCCUCCAGCAGCGUCAGACUGCCCGAGGCCUUCACUUCUGCAGCCACACACUUCAGCCCAAUCAUCCUGAGCCAGACACACACACCGAUGGUCACUGGAGAUUCUAUUGAGGACGUCACUGUUGAGGAGCAGGAUGCUGAGCAUUAUGGGAUACAUGAGCAGGUUUCCGCAAACGCAGACAGUUAUUCCUCUUCAUCCAGCUGUAAAACUCUGAUUAAUUCACCACAAACAACCAGCACAGAAACACACAACCACUCCUUACCAUGUGCCAACGGGAUCUGCCAGAACUUCCCGCUCCAGACUGGGCAUCUGACUCAACUUCCUGUUCAGAGUGCCACUCUUCAGCCAAUCACAGCUGUGGAUCUGAGUGCAGAGAAAGCAUCAGAAAGAGCUGAUCUGGGGUCAGUGAAUCAGAGAAACUCUGACCUGCAGGACGUCAUUCAGCUGCUCAGAGGACAGUUUCAUUUUGAUGGAGACCAAGAUCUGGCCAUGGGCCAGUACAUCUCCUCCUUAAAGAGCCUCCAGUUUGAGGUGUUCUGUGGAGUGGUGAUGGAGAAAUACAGCAGUGUGUGCUGGAAUCAGAAGCUGCUGUGUGUCCUGCACCGCCUGCUGAACCAGCACUGCAGUCCACCGUGAGUACAACAACACAUCCACAUCUAAUACUGCCACACAUCAUGCUGUAGUGUUGCUUGGCAGACUGGUGUGGUUGCUAGGGUUACUAAGCAGUCGCUAGGACAGGGUGGUUGUGUUACUGGUUGGCUCUUAGUGGUUGCUAAGGUUACUAUGGUGCUUUAGGUGGUUGUUUUAGGUGAUUGUCAGGUGCUGUUACCAGAGUGUUGCUAAGGGUUGUUGCUAAGGUAUAAUUAGGUAAUUGCUAGGUUUUUUUGAGUGGUUGCUAAGGUGUUUCCAGGGUGUUUGGGUGGUUGUUGGGCGGUUACCAGAGUGUCUUGGGUUGUUGCUAAGGUGUAAUUAGGUGAUUGCUGGUUAAGUGGUUGCUAGGGUUUUGCUAAAUAGUUGCUAAGAUAUUCUGGAUGGUUGUUGUGGUGUUACUAGGUGGUUUUGAGUGGUUGCUAGGCCCUAGGGUGUUUCAGGUAGUUGUUUAUUUUAAGUGGUUGUUUAGGCUGUUGAUAAAGUGAUUGCUAGAUAUUUCAGAGUGGUUGCUAGGGUUUUACUUAGUAGUUGCUAGGACAUUCUGGGUAGUUGUUAUGGUGUUACUGGGUGGUUAUUAUUAUUAAAGUUAUUUAACCAUUGUUUUGGGCGAUUGUUGGGUUACCAGAGUGUCUUGGGUUGUUGCUAAGGUGUAACUUGGUGAUUGCUAGGUAUUUCUCAGUGGUGGCUAGGGUGUUACUAUGGUGUUUUAGGUGGUUGUUUGGCUGUUACCAAAGUGUCUUGGGUUGUUGCUAAGGUGUAAUUAAGUGUUUGCUAGGUAUUUCUGAGUGGUUGCUAGGGUGUUACUAGUGUGUUUCAGGUAGUUUUAAGGCUUUUACCAGAGAGUCUUGUGUUGUUGCUAAGGUGUAAUUAGGUAAUUGCUAGGUAUUUUUCUGAGUGGUUGCUAGGCUUUUACUUAGUAGUUACUAGGAUGUUCUGGGUAGUUGUUAUGGUGUUAUUGGGUGGUUCUGAGUGGUUGCUAAGGUGUUACCUAAGUUUUUAGCCAGUUGUUUUGGGUGAUUGUUGGGUUACCAGAGUGUCCUGGGUUGUUGCUAAGGUGCAGUUUGGUGAUUGCUUGAUAUUUCUGAGUGGUUACUAGGGUUUUACUAAGCAGUUGCUAGAGUAGCCUGGGUGGUUGUUAUGGUGUUACUGGGUGGUUCUGAGUGGUUGCUAAGGUGUUACUUGGGUGUUUAAAGUACUUGUUUCAAGCAAUUGUCAUGCUUUUACUAGAAUGUCUUGAGCUGUUGCUAAGGUGUGAUUAGGUGAUUGCCAGGUAUUUAUGAGUGGUUUCAAGGGUUUUGCUAAACAGUUGCUAAGGUACUCUGGGUGGUUGCUAUGGUGUUACUGUGUAAUUCUGAGUGGUUGCCAAGGUGUUACUAUGGUGCUAUAUACUAUGACUGCUAAGUUGUUAGUAGGGGGUUAUUAGGCUGUUACCAGAAUGUCUUAAGUUGUUGCUACAGUUUUAUUAGGUGCUUGCUAGGUAAUUCUGAGUGGUUACGCUGGUGUUACUGGGUAGUUCUGGGUUGUUGUUAGGAGGUCUUUUUGUAGUGGCUAUUCUGGGUGAUAGCUCGGGGGUUACUGGAUUCUGAGUGAUUGCUAGUUUACUAUGUCGUAUUAUGUAGUUGUUUAGGCCAUUUCUAGUGUUUUACUAGGUGGUUGUUGGGGUGUUACUUGGUGAUUGCUUGGGUGUUGUAGAUGGUUGUUCUGGGUUGUUGUUUGGCUGAUAUCAGAGUUUUUCUGGGUUGUUGCUUACAUGUAGCUAGGUGGUUGAUAGGGUAUUCUAGGUUGUUCCUAAAACAUUAUUAGGUGGUUUUGUGUGGUUGCUAACAAGUUGCUAGGUGGUUACUAGAGUGUUUUGGGUGUUUUCAAGUGGGUUAAAAAGAUUGUAUAGGAACAACAAAAUGUAUUUGGUAUUUUGCAUGAGAUAAUAAAAGUGGUUGUUUGUCUGUUACUAGAGUGUUUUGGGUUGUUGCUAGGAUGUUACUUUGUUGGAGAUUAGGUGUACAAGGUGGUUGCAGGGUGAUAUUAGAGUCGUUCUACUGUACGAUGUUGUUCUGGGUGCAUUGUUAGGCUGUUAUCAGAAUGUUUUGUAUCGGUAAUAGGUAGUUGCUAGGGUAUGCUGGGGGUUGCUAGGGUGUAACUAGCAUGCAUUUCACACUAUCAAAAAAAAAAGCCAAUAACAUUUUCUUGUUUGGUAUUUUACAUGGCAUAAUAAAACUUGUUUUAUACUCCUUGAAUUAUCUUAACUUGUAUAAUCUCUAUGAAAACAAGCUUUAAUGUCUAAUGCCAUUAGAUGUUUCUAGAAAACAGAGAACAAGCCUAAAACAAAAUAGUAAGAAAUGAAUUUGUGCAAUGUGACGCUUGAGGUUAAUUCUGAGGUUAGUGCUGAAGCAGAAAUAGCAUCUGAAGCUGCUAACAGAUCACAGUCAGGUUUGUUUUGCUGAAGGUUGACCUGAACAACAGCCUUCAUUUUGAAUGUGAAUUGGAGUCACAUGAGCUCUCUCCAAAAACUCUCCAGACUCAUGCAUCCAGCGCUCCACUUCUCAUCAGCAAUCAGCCUGAUUCAGGCGUCCCUAUGGAGACUGAUGCUGCUGAAGUGGUCAGAUGCAGGGACGUUCGUGUCUACGCUUCUGCCACUAUCACGUUUACUUGUAGUGAUCAAUUGCUAAAGCUUUUACCAUGAUCAGGGCCGCACAAUAUACUGC
rnacentral:lncRNA from 1 species